UGAGAGGCCUAAAAAUUUCAACUAAGGUAAGAUAAGUAAUAAACAAUUUCACUUUGGUUAUAAACAGAGACUGUUUCUCUCCAAAAGGAAAACAAAACAAAACAUUUUUCUUCCCUUGUGUGUAAUGAUUAUGAUAAGUACCCAUUCCUUUGGGAUCUAGACCACUACAGAAUAUUGACUGGGUAAAACUAUUUAAAAACAGCAGCCUUUAUUAGUGCAAUUAAUCCUGUUUGGAAGACCUUUGUCUUCAAGCUUUGGCUUGGCUGACAUUGCCACAGUCUCUGCAGCCGUGAAGCUAUUCCAAACCUUCCUUUUCUAUUAAAAGACUCUUUCAAUUUGUCUUUUUAAUAGAUGAUGAAAGAUCAAGAGAGCUGACUGCCAGGCAGCUGUUUGCAAAAAACAAAUAAAAGAACUCAGCACAAUCUCAUGGCAUUAUUUUU
rnacentral:lncRNA from 1 species